rnacentral:rRNA from 1 species
UACGAAGGGGGCUAGCGUUGCUCGGAAUCACUGGGCGUAAAGCGCACGUAGGCGGCUUUUUAAGUCAGGGGUGAAAUCCUGGAGCUCAACUCCAGAACUGCCUUUGAUACUGAGAAGCUCGAGUCCGGGAGAGGUGAGUGGAACUGCGAGUGUAGAGGUGAAAUUCGUAGAUAUCAGGAAGAACACCCGUGGCUAAGGCGGCUCUCUAGUACGGUACUGACGCUGAGACGCGAAAGCGUGGGGAGCGAACAGG